rnacentral:rRNA from 1 species
AUUGAACGCUCGCGGGAUGCUUUACACAUGCAAGUCGAACGGCAGCGCGGACUUCGGUCUGGCGGCGAGUGGCGAACGGGUGAGUAAUGUAUCGGAACGUGCCCAGUAGCGGGGAAAAAUACGCGGAAGGGUAGGCUAAAACGCAAAAGGCCCAAGGGGGAAAGCAAGGGAACGGAAAGACUUUCACUUUUGGAGCGGCCGAUAUCGGAUUAGCUAGUUGGUGAGGUAACGGCUCACCAAGGCGACGAUCCGUAGCUGGUUUGAGAGGACGACCAGCCACACUGGGACUGAGACACGGCCCAGACUCCUACGGGAGGCAGCAGUGGGGAAUUUUGGACAAUGGGGGCAACCCUGAUCCAGCCAUCCCGCGUGUGCGAUGAAGGCCUUCGGGUUGUAAAGCACUUUUGGCAGGAAAGAAACGUCGCGGGCUAAUACCCCGUGGAACUGACGGUACCUGCAGAAUAAGCACCGGCUAACUACGUG